UUGUAUCCCGGAGACCAUGGUCCUGAGGGGGAGUUGAUCCUGAUCCUGAGGGGUGUGAGAAGAUUUGAGGAGGGUGGCUGGGAUUCUGAUGCAGGAGGGACGGGUCCUGGGGAGGUGGGGAGUAUGGAGAAGGCCCCGAGAGGAUGGACAGACUUGGAGGGGAGGGAAGCCCCUGGUUUGGGGGCAGCAAAGGGGUGGGGAGGUGGUGGGGAGCAGGGGUGGUAAAAAGGAAGUAGGCCGCACCCCGCGGCAGAAAACUUCCACCUGCCUGAAGCUCCCAAGAGGAUAGACAGAGGGCAGCAGGGGCUGGGAACAGAGUGGGCCUGGGUAGAGAAGGAGUCCGGGUGGGGGAGGUCCCGGCACAAAGAGCAGCGGAGCCCUGCCCCCCCAGCUGACCUGUCCUGACAGCCACUGUUGUGGUCCCUUGUGCACUCAGUUUGGCCCUCGUUUCCUCCCUACUCCAACAGGCCUGGUUUCCCAUCCGUCUUCCAUCUGCUGGGACAUCCCAGGGCAGGGCUCCUGGAGCCCAAAUCCCAUCCUGACUCCACCUCCCACCUGCCAUGCUUCCAGGGCCAAGGCCUGAACCUCGUGGCACCUGUUUUUCCCUGUGAAGUUCAUUCCACCUGCUCUGGUUACCCACACUGAGCGUGCAGGAGCGCCUUCUGCCCCGCUCAGAACUCUUGGCACCCGGCUUGGAGCCUCUCUGGAUCUCCAGCACACGGGCGUCUUCGUCGCCUCAGCUCCCACAGCUCAGCUGGCCUCCGUUUCCCUCUGUGAGGGAGAAUGGAAGCCAUGGUUCCGGUUUCCUCAGCCUCCUGCCCUCCCUCCCCUCCGUAGGGGCACCUCCCAGCGCCUCUCCUGGCUCCUUCCCGCCGCAGAGGGACAAGGUCAGGUCUCGGCCAUCUUGAGGAGCCUGGCUUCGUCCGAGCAGCUCCUGCCUGCCCGCAGCCGCGCUUCGGGAACGGAGCGUCGGCCGCCUACCGUGCCGUUCUCUCCGUCACUCCUCACUCUUCACCUCACAGCCUGGGCCGCUAGCACCUGUGGUGGAGGUCAAGUCUAACCGAGCUCGUUCACACCAGGUCAGCGGAGGCCCUGGACUCUUCAGCCUUUAUUCUGUUGACACUCUGGCCCCUCGAAGCUGUGCCUUGGCUUCUGUGACAUCACACUCUGAGGUUUCCCUCGUCUCCCCGCUUCUCUCAUGCACCGGCUGCGCUCGCCCCUCUCAGGUGGCCUCACCCCUCCUGCGGCUUCAGUGGUCAAUACUCCUGAACCUUCUCCCUCCAGCCCUGACGUCUGCCGGAGCUUCAGGACUGGUGGCUCCACGCAGGCGUCUUCCCAGCCGGGGGCAGCCCUGCGCCGCUGGAGCACAGGCACAGCCCGGGCUGCCUCUCCCGCGGGGAUGGGCCUGAGCCCCGCACCGCGGGCCUGAGCGUACCCAGAGUGCAAGGGCGGGCCCGGAAAGAGGAACUGGAGGUUGAGUUCACAAGAGGAAAUCAAGAGUAAAAGCCUGACUCCACGAGGAAGGUGAGUCACAAGGAGCAGGCAGAAGCAGGAAGUGGCCUGAGAAAGAGAAAGUUCCUCCGAGGCCACCACAGGGAUCCUCCUUGGCUGGGCGCGGGGACGAGAGUUCCGCGGUCUCAGGAGGUCACGCUGCCAGGCACCCCACCGCCUCUGCCCGAACGGAGACACCUUCUGGACUCCCUUGUCCGUCCUGCACAUCCAAGCAGUUAGCUUGAGUCAGUUUCUCUCCGCCCCUAGUUCGGGCCGCGGUCUGCCACCCGCAGGGCUGUAAGGGCCUCAGUGUCAGCCGGCGCGGCCUGGCCUCGCUCUCGUCUCCUCCGAAUCCCGUCCCCACAGCAGCUGGAGGGACCCUUCCUUCCACAGCAGGAGCUCACUCACUCCGCCACAACCACCGGGCCCUGCUCUCUGCCCUUAGGAACCGGCCUGUGUCCCCGCUGAUCUGACCUCUGCUGACCUCUUUAGCUGUACUGCUCAGUGUCACUGGCCCUGAUAAUACCCCACACAGUCACGGAUACAACCACACAGAUUUCACACACACAGAUACAACCACACGGACACUCACAGGACACUCACAGAUACAAUCACACGAUUCUCACACAGUACAAACACACUUAGCCGCUCCCCCCCCCCCCCCCCCCGCCCACGCACCCAGUACGCUCACCCACACACAGCCUGGGCGUCAGCCUCACUGACGGGUCCCGCGUCCCUGCUGCCCCCUGGUCCUGGCGUUUGCAGGAGCUGCUGCUCGCCCGCUAAUGCCUUCCCACCACUGUGGGCUCACCCCCUCCAGAAAGCCUUUCCUAACCCCCUAAGCUGGGCCCCUCAGGAAGGGGAAGAACCAACGUGGCCCAAGGAUUCUGUUAAGAAUCAAGCCCAAAAGGAGAAGACUUACUUUUUUGUGAAGCUUUGAGAUUUCUUUUAUUUUGUAUCUCCCCGCGUCUUUAUUUUUGCCGACGCAUUGUCUCAGUCGUUACAAUAAAGCCUUUCCGAGGA